rnacentral:rRNA from 1 species
UGAGGAAUCUUGCGCAAUGGGGGAAACCCUGACGCAGCAACGCCGCGCGAGUGAGGAGGGUCUUCGGGUCGUAAAGCUCUGUCAGGCGGGAAGAAAUGCAUGGAGGUGAACAGCCGCCAUGCUUGACGGUACCGCCAGAGGAAGCACCGGCUAACUCCGUGCCAGCAGCCGCGGUAAUACGGGGGGUGCAAGCGUUGUUCGGAAUCAUUGGGCGUAAAGAGCGUGUAGGCGGCUUGGUAAGUCAGAUGUGAAAGCCCUGGGCUCAACCCGGGAAGUGCAUUUGAAACUGCCAGGCUCGAGUAGGGGAGAGGGAAGUGGAAUUCCUGGUGUAGAGAUGAAAUUCGUAGAUAUCAGGAGGAACACCGGUGGCGAAGGCGACUUCCUGGCCCUAUACUGACGCUGAGACGCGAGAGCGUGGGUAGCAAACAG